UACGGGGGGAGCAAACGUUGUUCGGAAUCACUGGGCGUAAAGGGCGUGUAGGCGGCUGGAUAAGUGGGAUGUUAAAUCCCCCGGCUCAACCGGGGACCUGCAUCUCAUACUGUUCAGCUCGAGCACAUCAGAGGAGACUGGAAUUCCACGUGUAGCAGUGAAAUGCGUAGAGAUGUGGAGGAAUACCGAUGGCGAAGGCAGCCCCCUGGGCCAAUACUGACGCUCAUGUACGAAAGCGUGGGGAGCAAACAGG
rnacentral:rRNA from 1 species